CACCCGUUCCCAUUCCGAACACGGAAGUUAAGCCUUUCAGCGCCGAUGGUACUGCACGGGCAGCUGUGUGGGAGAGUAGGACG
rnacentral:rRNA from 1 species